ACAGUGUCGAUUUGGGAGGUUGUGCCCUUGAGGCGUGGCUUCCGGAGCUAACGCGUUAAAUCGACCGCCUGGGGAGUACGGCCGCAAGGUUAAAACUCAAAUGAAUUGACGGGGGCCCGCACAAGCGGUGGAGCAUGUGGUUUAAUUCGAUGCAACGCGAAGAACCUUACCUGGUCUUGACAUCCACAGAACUUUCCAGAGAUGGAUUGGUGCCUUCGGGAACUGUGAGACAGGUGCUGCAUGGCUGUCGUCAGCUCGUGUUGUGAAAUGUUGGGUUAAGUCCCGCAACGAGCGCAACCCUUAUCCUUUGUUGCCAGCGGUUAGGCCGGGAACUCAAAGGAGACUGCCAGUGAUAAACUGGAGGAAGGUGGGGAUGACGUCAAGUCAUCAUGGCCCUUACGACCAGGGCUACACACGUGCUACAAUGGCGCAUACAAAGAGAAGCGACCUCGCGAGAGCAAGCGGACCUCAUAAAGUGCGUCGUAGUCCGGAUUGGAGUCUGCAACUCGACUCCAUGAAGUCGGAAUCGCUAGUAAUCGUAGAUCAGAAUGCUACGGUGAAUACGUUCCCGGGCCUUGUACACACCGCCCGUCACACCAUGGGAGUGGGUUGCAAAAGAAGUAGGUAGCUUAACCUUCGGGAGGGCGCUUACCACUUUGUGAUUCAUGACUGGGGUGAAGUCGUAACAAGGGUAACCGGAA
rnacentral:rRNA from 1 species